CCGAUCUUCAAGAUGAUACUCGAAUAUUCUAGCAUAGUUCACACUGAACCGCGCAUGUAGAAAAACAUUCAUCUGUCUUUCGCUCCUAUCUGAUCUAUCUU
rnacentral:snoRNA from 1 species